AUGGCAGGUAAUAACCCACCACCAAAGCCAUGGGAACGUGUUGGCACUUCAUCUGGUCCAGCGCCUUUCAAACCCCCAUCUGGAGGCAGCACAAGUGACGUUGUUGAGGCCUCUGGGACAGCAAAACCUGGGGAAGUUGUUUCUGCUGCACAGAGCAAUGCUGCUUUCAACGUGAACAAUCCAGUUGCAGGGCCUGUGCCCCCGCGUCCCUGGCAGCAGCAAGGAUACGGAAAUACUUAUGGGGGUUAUGGUGCCAGUACCUAUAAUUCAUAUGGUGGAUUUGGUGGGGCUUAUAGUAACGGCGGGCUAUAUGGAAAUAAUAACAUGUAUUCAGGGUAUGGAGGUGGUUACGGCAGUUCGUACGGGGGCUCUGGAAUGUAUGGUGGGUCAAUGUAUAAUAACGGGAUGGGAAACCCAUACGGUGGUAUGGGCAUGGCUCCUUACAAUCAGGGUCCUAAUUCAUUUGGUCCUCCAGCACCACCCCCAGGUUUCUGGGUGUCCUUCCUACAAGUGAUGCAUGGGAUUGUGAAUUUCUCUGGACGAGUUGCUUUCCUUAUCAGCCAGAAUACUCAGGCAUUCCACAUGUUCAUCACAGCUCUUUUGCAGCUAUGUGAUAAGUCUGGAAUGCUUUAUGGUGAGCUUGCGAGAUUCACAUUUCGAUUGCUGGGGAUCAAAACCAAACCAAAUAAGGGCAGAAUUCAGGGUGCACAAGCUCCAUCAUCGGAUGGGCCAGGCCAGCAGUUCGUUGAGGCACCAAAAGCUAACAAGAACUCAUGGGAGAAUGUCUGGAACGGCGAUGCUAAGGGAAUGUGA
rnacentral:rRNA from 1 species